GUGUGGGAACGGAGCUAUGACUAAUGGCUGCUUUACAUAUAAAUGAGAAGGUUUGUGCUAGGAACUGUAAAAAAAUACAAUCACUCAGCUGACGGGCAGGCUCCUUAUCGUGGAUGCAGGAGAGGGACCACCAGAAAGGCCCCACCAAAAAAAAAAGCACAUCUGGGCAGAGAGUGUCGGAACAGAAGAGCUAUGUUGUCCCUUGCACCUUGAAGUGAUGAGCAUUGGCAGAUCUCCUGAUCUCAGCCUGGGGCUGCUGACGGUUCAGGUCCAUUUCAGAGAGAGAGAGAGAGCAACAUGCAUGGGGUGAACCUCAAAAGAGAAAAUCUCUGAGACAGGCUGUCUAGACAUUGCAGAUGUGGACAGAUGUUGGGUCUGUAAUUUAUAACAACGGCCUCCAGAAGGCAAUUCCAAUUUGUUUCGGUAAGGCUUUGAGUUACAGGCAGAAAAAAUAUCCUGUAAAUACCGUUGACUUACAUGGUAACUACACCAAGGGUUUACUUAGUGAACAAUCACUAACUAUAGCGUAAUUACACAUCCCUGCAGAUUACUGGAGAAUUUAGUGUCACUGAGCAGGCAAUGACCACCAAAUCGAAGUCCUGGCUCUGGGAAGGACUGGAAAAUAAGGGCGUUGACCCACACUUAGUAGGAAUUUAUUUCUAUUUCUUCAAAUUAUCAAUUAUCUUCUAACCCGAGGAUCCUUUCAGCCUUAUCUAUGUCAUAGAUAACCCUGACUAUCAUACCAAACUCCAGGCAAGUGCAUGCUGGUUGUAGUUUUCAACUGAUACAUGUUUAGACCAUACAGUAUCUGGAGGUACUCACAAAACCCUCAGACAAGCAUGAGGCUAGGGAUUUACUUCCUGAUUAUUAUAAAGGGCUCCACAGUCAGCAGCAGGGCUGAAGGACCAUCUUCACUUUGUCCUGGUGACCGAUGGUUCAACAGCUGUCCAGGACAACAAUGAAGCUGACUGGACCACCCACAUUGUGAAGUCUAUUCUGGUCCUUCUAGCUGGAAAUGGAAAGGCACGGUUUUAGAAUAAUUUCUCAAGAAUUUCAGGUUGCUUCUUACUCCUAUCUGGGGUGGUAUGAGUGUGUCAGGGGACGGGGGACGGGGGUGCGGGGGGACAGGCUGGUAUUAAGACUUGUCGUAUGCAAAGAAGUUAAGUGGUCUAACCUUGAUCUCAGUGCAGGCAUCAGAAGUCACGUGUGCAUGGGGGGGGGGGUGUCUGUCAUCCUUGAGAAUUCUGACCAGCUGGUCCCUUUGGGAUUAGGGGAUCAGAACUGGCUGGCAGCUGGGAGCUCUGGCUUCUCUGGAUGUAUAGGGUUGCAGCUGAAAUAGCCAUCAAGGUUGUCUGGCUGGGUGUCGGGGAAAGAAGGUGGGAAUAAGGGGGAGGGUAGAGAAAUGUGGAAAUCAAAUGAGCACAUUGGCAGUGUUGUACAUCAAUUCUUACUCCAUCACCAACCUCUUCCAGUUGAUUUGUUUCAUAUAAUCUUCCCUUCCCCCCUCACCUGUCCAGAGACAAUCAAAUAAAACUUAAGCUUAAUGCAUUUCUAGUCACAGACCCCUCAGUUUCUACAGACCCUGAAACAGAUGCCUCCUGCCUCUUUAAGAACAGAUAUUGCUUAAAGAAUCCUGGUUCUUUGUGACUGUUGUCUGAAUUCUCUUUCUUCCUGGCUCCUGCUUAUGGUAUGUUUGGUAGACACCCAACUAGAGUGAUAUCUUACCCUUACCCAAAGAAGACGUCUACUUUCCUAUGUAAGUAGCUUCAGCUUCAGCACCAAGUGCCAGUAAGGAAAGCUACUGGAGCCAAAGAAGAGAAGUGAGAUUAUAAUGGAAGGUCCACUGACUGCCCUGGCAAGCACUGGCCACAGGAUUGACCUCCAUCCUGCCUAGGAGAAAAGAUGUUAGCAUCAAAGGAUGGAUUUAGGAAGAGGUUUGUGCCUUCCAAGUUUAAAGUUUUCUGCCUGCGCUGUGUGGUGAAUUUAAAGCCACUAUGGGAGACAGUGAAACUAUGUCUCAAAUGAACUGACAAACGUGAAACUAUGUCUCAAAUGAACUAACAAACAGGAAAGUUCUGUACCUGUGGAUGGAGCGCUGUCAGUAAAGUGUUUUCUUAUUACCCUGCAGGUAUGAAGAGUUCCAUCCUCAACACUGCAUAAGCCAGAUGUAUUGGCACAUGUCCAUAACCUCAGCAGUGAGGAGCUGGGAGCAGGAAGAUCAGAAAGAGUUCAAGGUUAUCCUCAGUUAUGUAACAAGUGUAAAGCCAGCCUACUAUCUAGGAGAUACUAAAGAUAGAAUACUAGGGCUGGAGAGAUGGCUCAGCAGUUAAGAGCACUGACUGCUCUUCCAAUGGUCCCGAGUUCAAAUCCCAGCAACCACAUGGCAGCUCACAACCAUCCUUAAUGAGAUCUGACUCCCUCUUCUGGAGUGUCUAAAGACAGCUGCAG
rnacentral:lncRNA from 1 species